GCAAACUUGGUCAUUUAGAGGAAGUAAAAGUCGUAACAAGGUUUCCGUAGGUGAACCUGCGGAAGGAUCAUUAUUGAGUUUUGGGUCGAUCGAAUUCGUUCGGUUGUGCUCACAAUCUCCCAACCCUUUGUUUAAUUAAAACUUUUUGUUGCUUUGGUCAAUUGAUUUCGAUCAUUGACCAAUAGCCAAUUUUAAUUCUUCAAUUUUUUAACCAUGAAGUCUGAAUUUUUAAUUAAAAUUUAAUUAAAACUUUCAACAACGGAUCUCUUGGUUCUGGCAUCGAUGAAGAACGCAGC
rnacentral:misc_RNA from 1 species